rnacentral:tRNA from 1 species
UUUUAUUUAUGAUAAUUAGUAAUCUUAAACUUUUAGGAAGUUUAGAUAAAAAAUUUAAAUAUAUUUUAAAUAAAAU